AGAGCGGCGGGUGUGGCAGGAGGAUUUAGGCUGAGUAUCCUCCGCGCUAGUGUAGGCUGUCGGUCCUCGGGGCACCACAGGGCAUGGCAGGAAGGUUGUCCUAUCACCCAGUCAUGGGUUAUGCAGAAGCACUCAAGAGCACUAGCCUUGCAAAACUACAGUUCCAAGGACUGCAUGUGAUAUUUGAAAUGUAUGUUUUAUGAACUCUUAAAGAAAUACCACACAUAAUCUCUGCUUAUAUUGUAACAUACUAUAAACAACUGGUAUAAUGUUUA